GUUCUUAUAGUUAAAGCUUUAUAACGACGGCUUUUCAGGCCGUAGGUCUCGGAGAAAAGCCGAGUGGGAAUU